rnacentral:piRNA from 1 species
UUUUAGUUCAUUUUUUUUCUG